rnacentral:rRNA from 1 species
UACAGAGGUGGCAAGCGUUGUUCGGAAUUACUGGGCGUAAAGGGCGAGUAGGUGGCCAUCUAAGUCAGACGUGAAAUCCCCCGGCUUAACCUGGGAACUGCGUCUGAUACUGGACGGCUUGAGUAUGGGAGAGGGAUGUAGAAUUCCAGGUGUAGCGGUGAAAUUCGUAGAUAUUGGGAAGAACACCGGUGGCGAAGGCGGCCAUCUGGACCGCAACUGACGCUGAGGCGCGAAAGCGUGGGGAGCAAACAGG